rnacentral:rRNA from 1 species
UACAGAGGAGCCAAGCGUUGUCCGGAUUGACUGGGCGUAAAGCGCACGCAGGCGGACGCGCGCGUGGGGUGUGAAAUCUGGCCGCUUAACGGCCAGGCGCCAUCCCAUACGGCGCGUCUGGAGUGAUGCAGAGGUCGAUGGAAUUGCCGGUGUAGUGGUGAAAUGCGUAGAGAUCGGCAGGAACACCCAGGGGGAAACCAGUGGACUGGCACGGUGCUGACGCUCAGGUGCGAAAGCGUGGGGAGCGAACCGG